AGUAACGGCGAGUGAAGCGGCAACAGCUCAAAUUUGAAAGCUGGCGCAAGCCCGAGUUGUAAUUUGUAGAGGAUGUUUCUGGCGACGUGCUUUCCGAGUUCCCUGGAACGGGACGCCAUAGAGGGUGAGAGCCCCGUACGGUUGGAUGCCUAGCCUCUGUGAAACUCCUUCGACGAGUCGAGUUGUUUGGGA
rnacentral:rRNA from 1 species